CUUACCUACUUAUGUCUGCGAGGUAUUAUGAUGAUGAAUUGUAACACCAACAUGAUAAAAUAUUCAUAUUUUACAAAUUAAAGAUAAUUAUUUGAAUACAAUAACAUUUUAGUCCAGGGCAAUCUUUCAGUGUGUUUUGAGGUCCUUAUCCUGUUUGCAACGCUACACUGUUGGCUCUGCUCUAGCGCCUCCAACGGUCAGAAUAUGUUAUGUGCACAGAACCUGUGAUAGGUGCGUUGAAUACACUUUUCUCCAUUAUUGACAGCUCCAACACACGUCAGCUACCAGCUCAAGGAUGAUGUGGCAGAUAUACGACUCAAUGAUCCAACAGCCAAGAUGUGACAUGACUAAUCAGUGUGUGUGCGUUUGCUGGUGAACACACCGACGGCGCAGAUGAAGUCUGAGCCGAUGGAGGCGAUGGGAGAGAUCUGGUCGAACGGAGCUGUGAUGCACUGUCUUCAUCUCCGGCAAGCCUGGCUGCUCCAUCACCGGAGCAGAUAUCAAGUGGGUCUCCGCGGAGCGUCUGACAUGGUGCUGACAGGCAGGAACUUCAGGGCAGAUAAAGCCAUGGAGAUGGGUCUGGUGCAGCAGCUUGUGGACCCUCUGGGGAACGGGAGGGGGAUUAAACUGUUGUGCCUGUUAACUCCAGGCCUCGGUUGUGAAGCCUGAAGAGGAGAGAAACUGCUGAAUACCUCAAGGAAGUUGCAGUGGACGUGGGCCAAAAUAACUGCCAGCAAGACAGUCUAUUUUUACCUUACACUGCUGUGUCCAAACAGCCUGUCGAUCUGUCACUGCCUCUGACGGCUGUUUUAUUUGACCAACUUCUAUGCACACGUCUAUGUAACAUCUAUGUGGAUGAAACACAGGAGGAUAACUCGCUUUCCAGAGGUCAUUACGUUUUCUAUUUAUUUCGUAUUCUCUUAUUUAUUUCUUCAUCGCUCUUCUUACAGUGGCCUUGCAGUAACAUGAUCACAUGAGAGAGAGAGAGAGAAAGCGAAAGAGAGAGAGAGAGGAUGUAUGGAGUUUCUGUCAUCAGCGUCAGCGAGCAGCCUCUGACCCGUCUGCAGCCUUGUCAAGCUGCGGGAAUGUUACGGAAUUUAAAGAAAAAUUGAUCUCAGACAAUACGAGAGAACAAAGGCUCGAAUGGCAACAAGAGAAUCACAAGAACUAACACACAGGAUUACUUUGACGUUUACAACAACAUAAAUUUGCAUUUUCACAGUUGUCUGGCCGACAUGGAUGAUCUUGAUUCUUGUAGCUGAGGCUGAAGUUCCUGGUUAGUUAACAUUUUUAUCAUCAGGUUUUCUGAUUUCAGACUCAGACUUGUCUUAUUUUUUUAAGGUGUUUUUAGUUUUUUGUGUGUCACCAUAGAUCAAAGUAGUAGAAUAAUUAUUAGAUUUUCUCAUGUUCCAUGCACCUAUUUUGAUUAUGUCAGGUAGAGGAUACAGCAAUUUAUUUAAAUGUCGGGCUGUUACUCAUUAUUGUUUUCUCAAGCUUUCAAUCAGUCGAGUAAGAGUUAAGUGCAGGAAAUUUAGGAAACUGAUGAAAAAUGACCAUCGAAUUCCCUCAGCUUAUUUCAGAAAGUUUAAAUGAGAGAUGUUGCUAGAAAAAUUGAUCAUUACCUACUAAAAGUUUAUAAUUGUAUUAUCUAUUAUUGGGCUUUGUACCUUCUCACAUUUCUUUCCUGCAUUUGUUUUUCUUUUUUUUCCAGACCUAUUACUUCCAGGCAGUCUUCAGUGUGUUUUUGUGUCUCGUGAUUUGUAGUGAAAGCAAAUAAUCAAAAUAAAACAUCCCCAAAAUAAUAUCUGGGGAAGUUGUAACUUCUAUUAAAGAUGGCAACACAUCUGUAUAUCUGACGACAGGCGGACAGACAUAUUGUGUCACAGAGGAAUGUAAAAUUGUUUAAAGGGCAUGUAAAAAACAACUGUAUAUUGAAGUUCAGGUUCAUAGUUCAGUGAAUCAUUGAUCGGUACCACACACUCAAUCAGUACCUCAUUGGGUGCUUCUAACUCAUACUUUCUUAAAUUCCUUUUUUUUUAUGUUACACUUUAAACAACUAACUCUUUAUUGGCUCCUCAGAACCACUUUGUCAAUUGAGCCAAUUGCAGGCUGCUGAGGCUCGAUGAGACGGAUGAAGGACAUUCAGAUCUUGGGCCUCCAGCCCUGUAUGAACUGUGUGAUCUUGGUGACAUGGAGUCGGCUCAGGUGGAAGUCAUGUGACAGGAUAUCGUCAGUCAGCUGCACCAGGAGACUGCCGUCGAUUCGCUCCCUCUGGA